rnacentral:rRNA from 1 species
GAUGAACGCUGGCGGCGUGCUUAACACAUGCAAGUCGAACGGAAAGGCCCUGCUUUUGUGGGGUGCUCGAGUGGCGAACGGGUGUGUAACAUGUGAGUAACCUGCCCUUCACUGUGGGAUAACUUCAGGAAACUGGGUCUAAUACCGGAUAGGAGCUCCUGCUGCAUGGUGGGGGUUGGAAAGUUUCGGCGGUUGGGGAUGGACUCGCGGCUUAUCAGCUUGUUGGUGGGGUAGUGGCUUACCAAGGCUUUGACGGGUAGCCGGCCUGAGAGGGUGACCGGCCACACUGGGACUGAGAUACGGCCCAGACUCCUACGGGAGGCAGCAGUGGGGAAUAUUGCACAAUGGGCGGAAGCCUGAUGCAGCAACGCCGCGUGCGGGAUGACGGCCUUCGGGUUGUAAACCGCUUUCGCCUGUGACGAAGCGUGAGUGACGGUAAUGGGUAAAGAAGCACCGGCUAACUACGUG